rnacentral:rRNA from 1 species
GGGGGGGGCGGGGGGGGGGCGGGGGGCGGGCGGGGCGGGCGGGCGCUUCGGGGUGGGGGGCGGACGGGGGAGUGACGCGUGGGAAUCUGGCUUUGGGUUCGGGACAACCACUGGAAACGGUGGCUAAUACCGGCUGUUCCGCGGGGUCAACUAGAAAUUGCCUGAAGGUGAGCUCGCGUCUGAUUAGCUAGUUGGUGAGGUAAAGGCUCACCAAGGCAGCGAUCAGUAGCUGGUCUGAGAGGAUGACCAGCCACACGGGGACUGAGACACGGCCCAGACUCCUACGGGAGGCAGCAGUGGGGAAUUUUCCGCAAUGGGCGAAAGCCUGACGGAGCAAUACCGCGUGAGGGAAGAAGGCUCUUGGGUUGUAAACCUCUUUUCUUAGGGAAGAACAAAAUGACGGUACCUAAGGAAUCAGCAUCGGCUAACUCCGUG